UCUAACUUAAUGUUUUAGUAAGAUCGCUUUGGAUGCUGUGUUGAGCAUGGAUCGAAAGGGAACAAAGGUAAAAGUAAAAAGAUAGUUAGAAGCUAUUGCUGGCUUGGACCAGGGUAACAGUAGAGAUGAUAAGAAGCACUCAUGUUUUGGGCAUAUCUUAAAGACGGAGCCAAGAGGCGCCUGGGUGGCUUACUCAGAACUUCGAAGAAGGAACCAGCCCUGCUGACAUUUUGACUUUAGCCCAGCGAGACAGAUUUUGAACGUCUAACUCUCCACGCUGCUUGGCCUUGUGACCCUGGCCAAAUUGAUGCACAGCUUCCAGACUGCCUAAAAACCCAUCACCUCAUUCAAAGUGGAG